GCCUUUCCUGAAUGAUGGCAUAUUUUUUCUUGUAGAUUAAGGACAAAUUAUUGUUUCUGAAUUAUACCUGGUUCUCUUCCAGGAAAAAGCA